UACGUAAAGCAGACAAAGGAUGCCUAGGAGCUACGAGCCGAAGAAGGACGUAUAUGGCCACGAUAGUCGUCGGGGAGCUGCCAAGAAGCUUUGAUCCGGCGGUGUCCGAAUGGGGAAACCCCUCCUUUUGGAGACUCAGCGUAAGCUGGGAGGGAACGCUUCGAACUGAAACAUCUAAGUAGAAGCUGGAAAAGAAAUCGAAAUUAUCACGGCUUUGCCGUGAGAGAUUCCGUGAGUAAGCGGCGAGCGAAAGCGGAAGAGCCUAAACCCUACUUUGCUCCGUAAGGAGCUUCGAAGGGUGUUGCGGGAGGGUCGAGGGAUUGAAAGAGGGUAGUCAAACCGCUUGGAAUAGCGGGCCAGAGAACUGUGAAAGCCGUGUAGACGAAACCUAAAUUCACUUGAGACCUGAAUUCCCAAGUACCAUGAAGCACACGACUUUGUGGGAAUCCGGGGUGACCACACUCCAAGGCUAAAUACUUGUGGCUUCCGAUAGUGAACUAGUACCGUGAGGGAAAGGCGAAAAGAAGGGUUGAAAACCUAGUGAAAUAGAACCUGAAAUUGUCUGCUAACAAGCAGUGAGAGCCCUUCGGCUGCAAAGCCGCUCAGGGUGAUCGCGUGCCUAUUGAAGAAUUAUCCGGCGAGUUUCCGUUCUGCACGAGUCUAACCCCGCAGGUCGGGGGGAGGCGGAGAGAAAUCGAGUGUUAACAGCGCGUUUAGUGCAGGAUGGAAGACCCGAAACCUGGUGAGCUAACCAUGAGCAGGGUGAACCCCGGUGAAAACCGGGGGGAGGCCCGUACCCUUCAGAGUUACAAAUCUGUGGGAUGACUUGUGGUUAGGGGUAAUAUGCCAAUCGAACCAGGAGAUAGCUGGCUCUCCCCGAAAUAUAUAUAGGUAUAGCCUCUUUCCUUCGGGACUUUCAGGUAGAGCACUGGAUGGGCUGUGCAGCGCAAGUUGUACUGUUCAAUCAAACUCCGAAUUGGAAGUUUUUGGGAAAGGGAGUCAGAACGACCCGGCUAAGCGGGCCGCUCUAAAGGGAAACAACCCAGAUUGACCUCUAAGGCCUCUAAAUAACAGCUAAGUGUGAAACGAUGUCAAAUUUCAUAGACAGCCAGGAGGUUGGCUCAGAAGCAGCCAUCCUUUAAAGAAAGCGUAACAGCUCACUGGUCUACUUUGAAGUCUGGCGCGGAAAAUGAAUCGAGGCUCAAGCUGUUUGCCGAAGAGACAGACUUGUCCCGACUUUGUCGAGGACAUUUGGUAGGGGAGCGUUGAAAUUGCAGUGAAGGUCAGGCGUAAGCUUGGUUGGAGCGAUUUCAAGUGAGAAUGCCGGAAUGAGUAGCGUAAGUCCGAUGAGAAUUCGGACCGCCGAAACCCCAAGGGUUCCUCCGCUACAUUGUUUGACGGAGGGUAAGUCGGCACCUAAGGUGAGUCCCGAUUAAAUCGGGGGUAGCUGAUGGACGAGCCGUUUAUAUUCGGCUACAGGGGACGUGUCGUUAUUAACUGGGGAUUGAACGAGUAAGAACUUCCUAGCGUGUGCAGUGAAUGCGCGUUUAGACCGUAAGAUAGUUGGCCCCGCGAAAUGCGGGCUGGCGUUUAAUCGAGCGGGAUGGGGAAUCUUCUGGCAAAUGUCUGGAGAUAACUGGGACAGUUUUUGUUUGCGAGAAAAUAUUCGCAGUGAGACAUGUUUCUUGCCGUACCGCAAACCGACACUGGUGGGGUGGUCGAGUAGACCAAGGCGAUCGGGAGAAGGCAGUUCAAGGAACUCGGCAAAAAAGCUGGACGUAAUCUAGUGAGAUGUCCUUCCCGACUCAGUCGGGACGCAGCAAAAGAUUACUCUGCGACUGUUUAACUAAAACACAGGUCUGUGCAAACGCGUAAGCGAACGUAUACAGGCUGAGGCCUGCCCAAUGCUCGUAAGUCAUGGGGAUGGCUGACCCCGAUUUAUUCGGGAGAGGCUUGAACUUAAGCUCGAGUGAAUGGCGGUCUUAACUAUAAGGAUCCUAUGGUGGAAUGUGCGCUGCCAUAGUGAGGCGAGAGACCUCUGUCUUUUAUUCUGUUUGCCGCAGAGGGAGACAAAAAUCUGACUAUAUGCUGGAAAGACUCAGUAUCCGACAGUACCAGAAAUGGUAAAAAUCUGAACGGUGGAGUUAAUCAGCAGGAAAGAUCCUGAGAGAAAUCGAAGGAAAUCCUCACACACUAUACGUCAGACAUCCCCGAUUAAAUCGGGGUAAAGAGAUAGUGGCGUCUGCAUGGCGACAUGCAGUAAAGAUAAAGCAAGCGAAAUUCCUUGUCGGGUAAGCGGCGGAAGCAAGCCCGACCUCGAGGCUGGACGCCUCGCGGUGUAUCGUGCACCGUAAACACUGACUCAUAUCGGUGGAGCCUCUUGAUCUUUGUAUUUUAUUCGGAUUAAGAUGGUAGUACCGAGGGAAGUCGUCCCGCUAAGCGGGAUUGACCCCGUAACGACUCAAAGUCCACGUAGACUUUGGAGGCAUAUAUGCCUAAGACGUCAGUAUUUCAAGAUGUUUGUUGGUACCUGUCGGGUUACGCCGACGGAGAAGGCAGCUUUUGUGUCAGUUUUUCUCCCAGAAGUAAAUUGAAGACCAAACUUGAGGUAAGGCCAAGUUUUUCUGUCAGUCAAAAUAGCGAUCGGUCUGAGGUUCUGGAGUUAUUUCAGAAAACUUUGGACUGUGGAACUAUUAGGCCUGAUAGGAGCGAUAAGACCUUAAAGUUUGAAGUUCGGAGUUUGGGCGAGAUUAACGAAAAAGUGAUACCUUUCUUUGAAAAGUAUCCAUUAAAAUCUUCUAAGUAUAAAGACUUUUUGCUUUUUUCGAAUAUAUGUCGAAAGAUUGCAGGAAAACCGAGUAUUAGAGAGAUUAUUAAUCUGGCUGUGAAGAUGAAUACUUCUGGAAAAAGAAAAUACAACACACAAAAACUUUUAAGUAUUUUGCGAUAAAGGUAUAGUCUAUCCCAUUGGCGACAAUGGAUUUAUCGAUGAAGUUCCGACCCGCACGAAUGGCUUAACGACAGAGUAACUGUCUUGAACUGUCACCCGGCGAAAUUGAAAUGGCUGUGAAGAUGCGGCCUAACUCUACUAGGACAAAAAGACCCUAUGGA
rnacentral:rRNA from 1 species